rnacentral:rRNA from 1 species
GAUGAACGCUGGCGGCGUGCCUAAUACAUGCAAGUCGAGCGAACAGACGAGGAGCUUGCUCCUCUGACGUUAGCGGCGGACGGGUGAGUAACACGUGGAUAACCUACCUAUAAGACCGGGAUAACUUCGGGAAACCGGAGCUAAUACCGGAUAAUAUAUUGAACCGCAUGGUUCAAUAGUGAAAGACGGUUUUGCUGUCACUUAUAGAUGGAUCCGCGCCGCAUUAGCUAGUUGGUAAGGUAACGGCUUACCAAGGCAACGAUGCGUAGCCGACCUGAGAGGGUGAUCGGCCACACUGGAACUGAGACACGGUCCAGACUCCUACGGGAGGCAGCAGUAGGGAAUCUUCCGCAAUGGGCGAAAGCCUGACGGAGCAACGCCGCGUGAGUGAUGAAGGUCUUCGGAUCGUAAAACUCUGUUAUUAGGGAAGAACAAAUGUGUAAGUAACUAUGCACGUCUUGACGGUACCUAAUCAGAAAGCCACGGCUAGCUACGUG